UACGUAGGGUGCAAGCGUUAAUCGGAAUUACUGGGCGUAAAGCGUGCGCAGGCGGUUUUAUAAGUCAGAUGUGAAAUCCCCGGGCUCAACCUGGGAACUGCAUUUGUGACUGUAGAGCUGGAGUGCGGCAGAGGGGGAUGGAAUUCCGCGUGUAGCAGUGAAAUGCGUAGAUAUGCGGAGGAACACCGAUGGCGAAGGCAAUCCCCUGGGCCUGUACUGACGCUGAUGCACGAAAGCGUGGGGAGCAAACAGG
rnacentral:rRNA from 1 species